rnacentral:rRNA from 1 species
UACCAGCACCCCGAGUGGUCGGGACGAUUAUUGGGCCUAAAGCAUCCGUAGCCGGUUCUGCAAGUCCUCCGUUAAAUCCAACUGCUCAACAGAUGGGCCGCGGAGGAUACUACAGAGCUAGGAGGCAGGAGAGGCAAGCGGUACUCAGUGGGUAGGGGUAAAAUCCGUUGAUCUACAGAGGAACACCAAAAAAGGCGAAGGCAGCUAACUAUUCUGAUCCUGACAUUGAGGCAUGAAAGCGUGGGGAGCAAACCGG